rnacentral:rRNA from 1 species
UACGACUACAUAUCAGGCAUAUCAAUAAGCGGAGGAAAAGAAACUAACUAGGAUUCCCUUAGUAACGGCGAGUGAAGCGGGAAGAGCUCAAAUUUGAAAUCUUCAAGGUUCUACCUUGACGAAUUGUAGUUUAAAGAAGUGUUUUCUGUUGGUGUUUUGGUAAAAGUUCUUUGGAAUAGGACAUCAUAGAGGGUGAGAAUCCCGUAUUUGACCAUUACUUCCAGCUGUUGUGAUACACUUUCAAAGAGUCGGAUUGUUUGGGAAUGCAGUCCAAAAUGGGUGGUAAAUUUCAUCUAAAGCUAAAUACUGGCGAGAGACCGAUAGCGAACAAGUACCGUGAGGGAAAGAUGAAAAGAACUUUGAAAAGAGAGUUAAACAGUACGUGAAAUUGUCAAAAGGGAAGCGUUUGACACCAGUGUUGUUUUCUCGAAAAUCAAUUAAAAAAUGCCUGGAUUUUGUGUUGUAUUGACUUUAUCAGCUUUCUGCACUCUUUUUCUUGUCUUUUUUAAUGCACUUUUCGUUUAACAAGUCAACAUCAAUUUCUUUUGUUGUAAAAGGGUCAUUGGAAGGUGGCUUUCUUUUCGGAGAAAGUGUUUAUAGGCCUUUGGCCUCUGCAAUCGGAGAGAUUGAGGUCUGCAGCGUAGAUCCUUCGGGGUUAGAUACAUUUGUGCUAAGUUAUAGCCUUUCAUAGACAACUUGUUGACUAUGAUCAGUCAUGUAGCUUACUCGCUUAUGCUAUUUUACCUACGCUUAGGAUGUUGACGCGCGUGUGUGCGUG